AUUGAACGCUGGCGGCAUGCCUUACACAUGCAAGUCGAACGGUAACAGGUCUUCGGAUGCUGACGAGUGGCGAACGGGUGAGUAAUACAUCGGAACGUGCCUAGUAGUGGGGGAUAACUACUCGAAAGAGUGGCUAAUACCGCAUGAGAUCUACGGAUGAAAGCAGGGGAUCGCAAGACCUUGUGCUACUAGAGCGGCCGAUGGCAGAUCAGGUAGUUGGUGGGAUAAAAGCUUACCAAGCCGACGAUCUGUAGCUGGUCUGAGAGGACGAUCGGCCACACUGGGACUGAGACACGGCCCAGACUCCGACGGGAGGCAGCAGUGGGGAAUUUUGGACAAUGGGCGCAAGCCUGAUCCAGCAAUGCCGCGUGCAGGAUGAAGGCCUUCGGGUUGUAAACUGCUUUUGUACGGAACGAAAAGCCCUGGGUUAAUACCCUGGGGUCAUGACGGUACCGUAAGAAUAAGCACCGGCUAACUACGUGCCAGCCGCCGCCGUAA
rnacentral:rRNA from 1 species